rnacentral:rRNA from 1 species
AGUGAACGCUUGCGGUAGGCCUAACACAUGCAAGUCGAACGGCAGCACAGUAAGAGCUUGCUCUUACGGGUGGCGAGUGGCGGACGGGUGAGGAAUACAUCGGAAUCUACUUUUUCGUGGGGGAUAACGUAGGGAAACUUACGCUAAUACCGCAUACGACCUACGGGUGAAAGCAGGGGAUCUUCGGACCUUGCGCGAUUGAAUGAGCCGAUGUCGGAUUAGCUAGUUGGCGGGGUAAAGGCCCACCAAGGCGACGAUCCGUAGCUGGUCUGAGAGGAUGAGCAGCCACACUGGAACUGAGACACGGUCCAGACUCCUACGGGAGGCAGCAGUGGGGAAUAUUGGACGAUGGGCGCAAGCCUUAUCCAGCCAUACCGCGUGGGUGAAGAAGGCCUUCGGGUUGUAAAGCCCUUUUGUUGGGAAAGAAAAGCAGCAGGUUAAUACCCCGCUGUUCUGACGGUACCCAAAGAAUAAGCACCGGCUAACUUCGUG